rnacentral:lncRNA from 1 species
AGAGGAGCUUGGAUGUUUCUGAGGUUACUGAUGGGUUAACUGUUGUUGGGUGCCGUUGGUGCUGCAAAUGGAAGUCAUCUGCUGUAGAAGCUCGGAUGAGAACUAUCUAUUAGAGAGUUCGAUAGGAGUCCAAUUGCUGGAGAAGUUCAUCUGAAAUUUGUAUGAUGUAGAAGCUUGUCUGAAGAAUUAUCUGCUGGAGAGAUCCGAUUGCACAAGGAAUCUGACUGAAGGUCGGUCGAUAGAAGAGUCCGAAAAGCGUUAUGGGAGUUCAUCCGCUGGAGGAGUCUGGAGAAUCCUGUGGAAGUCCGAUUGGCGUUGUUGAAGUCUGGCUAGCGCUGUUGAAGUCCGACUGACGCUAUUAAAGGUUGAUGGCUAGAGAGGUAUAGAAAACAUUGGAGGUGGUCGGCCGUUGUAGAAAUCCAGCUGUUGGAGCCCGUCCACUAUAGAAGUUCGUCCGGAAUCCAUCUGCUAUGGAAGUUCAGACGGAGUCCGGUUCUUGUAGAAGUUCAGAUGGAGAUCACUUAUCGAAGAAGCUCGGCUGAAGUCCGCCUGUAAUAGAAGUUUGGAAGGAAUUCGUUUACAGUAGAGCUCGGAUGGAAUUUGCUUACAGUAGAGAUCCGGAGUAGACCACUUGCAGUAGAAGUUCGGAAGGAAUUCGUUUACAGUAGAAGCUCGGAUAAAAUUCGCUUACAGUAGAGAUCCAGAGUAGACCGCUUGCAGUAGA